UACGUAGGUGGCGAGCGUUGUCCGGAAUUACUGGGUGUAAAGGGCGUGUAGGCGGGUUUACAAGUCAGAUGUGAAAUUCCCAGGCUUAACUUGGGCGCUGCAUCUGAAACUGUAGAUCUUGAGUGCUGGAGAGGAAAGCGGAAUUCCUAGUGUAGCGGUGAAAUGCGUAGAUAUUAGGAGGAACACCAGUGGCGAAGGCGGCUUUCUGGACAGUAACUGACGCUGAGGCGCGAAAGCGUGGGGAGCAAACAGG
rnacentral:rRNA from 1 species